AAUUGAUGCUUCCCGCUCAUGCUAGUGCUUCAAAUUGCCAAUGGGUCUAUGCCAUUAAUUACGGGGGUGGAAUUGUGUCUGGUGACAAUAUAAAAAUACAAGCCAGAAUAAAGGAUCAAUGCUGUGCCAUGAUUACUACACAGGCUUCUACAAAGGUUUAUCAUAGUGAAGAUGAACAAGUGAGUGUACAGAUUUUAGAAGGCAUUGCAGAGAGUGGAAGCACACUAGCUGUAUUACAAGAUCCUGUCACAUGCUUUGCUAAAGCUAGAUACAAGCAGACACAGAGCUUUGAUGUGAGUGAGGAUAGUAACUUAAUAUUAAUGGAUUGGCUUACAGCAGGGAGAAUCGCUAGAGGAGAAUGCUGGAAUUUUACAAGGUAUUUACUACUUCGUAAAAUAG